GACGAACGCUGGCGGCGUGCUUAACACAUGCAAGUCGAACGCUGAAGCUCAGCUUUUGUUGGGUGGAUGAGUGGCGAACGGGUGAGUAACACGUGAGUAACCUGCCCCCUUCUUUGGGAUAACGCCCGGAAACGGGUGCUAAUACUGGAUAUUCACUGGUCUUCGCAUGGGGGUUGGUGGAAAGGGUUUUUCUGGUGGGGGAUGGGCUCGCGGCCUAUCAGCUUGUUGGUGGGGUGAUGGCCUACCAAGGCUUUGACGGGUAGCCGGCCUGAGAGGGUGAACGGGCACAGUGGGACUGAGCUGCGGCCCAGAGUAGGACGGGAGGCAGCAGUGGGGACUAUUGCAGCAUGCGUGCAAGACUGAUGCAGCGGCGACGCGGGAGGGAUGCGGGCCGUCGGGUUGUGAUCCUCUUUCGCUAAUGGUCAAGCCGCAACAACGGUUGUGGUGAGGGUAGUGGGUAAAGAAGCGCCGGCUAACUACGUG
rnacentral:rRNA from 1 species